GACGAACGCUGGCGGCGUGCUUAACACAUGCAAGUCGAACGGAAAGGCCCUGCUUUUGUGGGGUGCUCGAGUGGCGAACGGGUGAGUAACACGUGAGUAACCUGCCCUUGACUUUGGGAUAACUUCAGGAAACUGGGGCUAAUACCGGAUAGGAGCUCCUGCUGCAUGGUGGGGGUUGGAAAGUUUCGGCGGUUGGGGCUGGACUCGCGGCUUAUCAGCUUGUUGGUGGGGUAGUGGCUUACCAAGGCUUUGACGGGUAGCCGGCCUGAGAGGGUGACCGGCCACAUUGGGACUGAGAUACGGCCCAGACUCCUACGGGAGGCAACAGUGGGGAAUAUUGCACAAUGGGCGGAAGCCUGAUGCAGCAACGCCGCGUGCGGGAUGACGGCCUUCGGGUUGUAAACCGCUUUCGCCUGUGACGAAGCGUGAGUGACGGUAAUGGGUAAAGAAGCACCGGCUAACUACGUG
rnacentral:rRNA from 1 species